rnacentral:rRNA from 1 species
UACGUAGGGUGCAAGCGUUGUUCGGAAUUAUUGGGCGUAAAGAGCUCGUAGGCGGUCUGUUGCGUCGGCUGUGAAAACCCGGGGCUCAACUCCGGGCCUGCAGCCGAUACGGGCAGACUAGAGUUCGGCAGGGGAGACUGGAAUUCCUGGUGUAGCGGUGAAAUGCGCAGAUAUCAGGAAGAACACCGGUGGCGAAGGCGGCUCUCUGGGCCUUACCUGACGCUGAGGAGCGAAAGCGUGGGUAGCGAACA